rnacentral:lncRNA from 1 species
GAAAUAUGGUCACUUGGUCUUCUCCAGACCGGCAGUAAAACGCUUGCCGAAGUGGGGCGUCCGUUUGGCUGUGCGGGAUGUAUCAAGUUCGCAGUCACGUCCGUCAGAAGGGGACGUUAAAUCCGAUGCCUCGUGUAAAGAGAGUGCCACACUCUUUGCACGUUAAGAACCCUUGCAACAACUCUUUGAGGGGUCCGUAGGUGGCCUGUUGCAAGGCAAAAUUUCUGUCCCUAUCCAAUAUACCCUCAUUUUCCAGUGGCAGUCCAAAUUUCCCCGACCAUCAUCCUAGAUGGCCUCUAUUACAACAACCUACCUAUUGUAUUUAUUGUGAACUUGUUCUCGUCCUGAAUAUGCAUGAAAUAUUUGCCACUGGACGUUAAGCAACCAACAAUCAAUCAAUCAAUCAUAACAUUU